rnacentral:rRNA from 4 species
GGGUUGUGAGGUUAAGCGACUAAGCGUACACGGUGGAUGCCCUGGCAGUCAGAGGCGAUGAAGGACGUGCUAAUCUGCGAUAAGCGUCGGUAAGGUGAUAUGAACCGUUAUAACCGGCGAUUUC